CCUACGGGAGGCAGCAGUGAGGAAUAUUGGUCAAUGGACGAGAGUCUGAACCAGCCAAGUAGCGUGAAGGAUGACUGCCCUAUGGGUUGUAAACUUCUUUUAUAUGGGAAUAAAAUGUUCCACGUGUGGGAUUUUGUAUGUACCAUAUGAAUAAGGAUCGGCUAACUCCGUGCCAGCAGCCGCGGUAAUACGGAGGAUCCGAGCGUUAUCCGGAUUGAUUGGGUUUAAAGGGAGCGUAGGUGGAUUGUUAAGUCAGUUGUGAAAGUUUGCGGCUCAACCGUAAAAUUACAGUUGAAACUGGCAGUCUUGAGUACAGUAGAGGUGGGCGGAAUUCGUGGUGUAGCGGUGAAAUGCUUAGAUAUCACGAAGAACUCCGAUUGCGAAGGCAGCUCACUGGACUGCAACUGACACUGAGGCUCGAAAGUGUGGGUAUCAAACAGGAUUAGAUACCCGUGUAGUC
rnacentral:rRNA from 1 species